rnacentral:lncRNA from 1 species
UUUGGGAAUGAGUGUUUCGGGAUAAAUUUCGAAAUUUAAAAAUAUCGGAUUACGUGAUCUGGAGUACACUAAAAAAAAGGUAUUUCGGAAUAAGUGUUUCUUAAUCUCGUCUUCCUGCUCAGGUUCUCUGGUCUCCAGAGCCACCGUGUCUACAUGUCCAGCUGCGGCGAGCUCGCGAUGACCUUGUGGAUGCUGUCACGGUGUAUUUAAGUUCAAGAUUGCAGGGAAAAAAAUGGGGGUGCAGGAAGAAAUCACUCUAACCAUAUCUGAAAUUAUUUGGGCUGGCUCGCCAUAAUUUUUUUUUUUUCUGAAAAAUGUGUGUAAGAAAAAGUCCUUGUUAAGUAAACACCAAAAAAAAGGGUUUUGUUCGUCUCCAAAAUUUUCUAAAUAUCCUAAGUGACCUUCUUUGAUUUUAAUUAGGUAAAAACAUAAUUACUUCCUCUCUUUAUUUAUUUGUUCACUAACCCUGACUCCUUCUUUCGAGUUCCUACACCCCCAAAAACACAAACAUUCCUUCCUCUAUCUCUUCCACCCGUCCUCUUCUUCACGCAACACUCUAAGUUUCAUAU